GAUGAACGCUGGCGGCGUGCCUAAUACAUGCAAGUCGAGCGAACAGACGAGGAGCUUGCUCCUCUGACGUUAGCGGCGGACGGGUGAGUAACACGUGGAUAACCUACCUAUAAGACUGGGAUAACUUCGGGAAACCGGAGCUAAUACCGGAUAAUAUAUUGAACCGCAUGGUUCAAUAGUGAAAGACGGUUUUGCUGUCACUUAUAGAUGGAUCCGCGCCGCAUUAGCUAGUUGGUAAGGUAACGGCUUACCAAGGCAACGAUGCGUAGCCGACCUGAGAGGGUGAUCGGCCACACUGGAACUGAGACACGGUCCAGACUCCUACGGGAGGCAGCAGUAGGGAAUCUUCCGCAAAGGGCGAAAGCCUGACGGAGCAACGCCGCGUGAGUGAUGAAGGUCUUCGGAUCGUAAAACUCUGUUAUUAGGGAAGAACAAAUGUGUAAGUAACUAUGCAAGUCUUGACGGUACCUAAUCAGAAAGCCACGGCUAACUACGUG
rnacentral:rRNA from 1 species